rnacentral:rRNA from 1 species
AUUGAACGCUGGCGGCAGGCUUAACACAUGCAAGUCGAACGGUAACAGGAAGAAAGCUUGCUUUCUUUGCUGACGAGUGGCGGACGGGUGAGUAAUGCUUGGGAAUCUGCCUUAUGGAGGGGGAUAACUACGGGAAACUGUAGCUAAUACCGCGUAAUAUCUUCGGAUUAAAGUGUGGGACCUUCGGGCCACAUGCCAUAAGAUGAGCCCAAGUGAGAUUAGGUAGUUGGUGAGGUAAAGGCUCACCAAGCUGACGAUCUCUAGCUGGUUUGAGAGGAUGAUCAGCCACACUGGAACUGAGACACGGUCCAGACUCCUACGGAAGGCAGCAGUGGGGAAUAUUGCACAAUGGGCGCAAGCCUGAUGCAGCCAUGCCGCGUGAAUGAAGAAGGCUUUCGGGUUGUAAAGUUCUUUCAGCGAUGAGGAAGGUGCAUUAUCUAAUAGGUGAUGUAAUUGACGUUAGUCGCAGAAGAAGCACCGGCUAACUCCGUGCCAGCAGCCGCGGUAAUACGGAGGGUGCGAGCGUUAAUCGGAAUAACUGGGCGUAAAGGGCACGCAGGCGGUUGUCUAAGUCAGAUGUGAAAGCCCCGAGCUUAACUUGGGAAUUGCAUUUGAGACUGGGCGACUAGAGUCCUCUAGGGAGGGGUAGAAUUCCACGUGUAGCGGUGAAAUGCGUAGAGAUGUGGAGGAAUACCGAAGGCGAAGGCAGCCCCUUGGAGAGAGACUGACGCUGAGGUGCGAAAGCGUGGGUAGCAAACAGG